rnacentral:rRNA from 1 species
UACGGGGGGGGGCAAGCGUUGUUCGGAAUUACUGGGCGUAAAGGGCUCGUAGGUGGCCAACUAAGUCAGACGUGAAAUCCCUCGGCUUAACCGGGGAACUGCGUCUGAUACUGGAUGGCUUGAGUUUGGGAGAGGGACGCGGAAUUCCAGGUGUAGCGGUGAAAUGCGCAGAUAUCAGGAGGAACACCGAUGGCGAAGGCGGGUCUCUGGGCCGGAUACUGACGCUGAGGAGCGAAAGCGUGGGGAGCGAACAGG